CUCAUGCCUGCUGAGCCCUCUCAUCCCGGCAGCAGGGCUGGGAGUCCUGGAGCAGAGGGACCUCCUCUCAUCGUCUUUGUUUCCAAAGGCUCACGUCUAGCAGGAGCUGAGCCAAGCCCCAGGUUUCCGCAGGAAAGGCGGAGAGGAGUGUUCCAAUCCAAUGACCAGAAUGUGCUCGCAUCCCCGGCAGCACUGAGAUCAGGGCCGGCCCAUUUCUGCCUGGAUGCCUGCUGGGGAGGGGUUGGCAUGGCAACAUGAGCUCUGAGCUGCUGAAACUUGGAGUCAACUCGUAGCUGGGAGGACAGAAAGAACGACGGAAGAGGAUGCUUUCCCAUGCGACGCAGGUGAGACAAAUCCAGGCUAAUCCCUGAAAGCCACAUCCCAGAAGCAGAACCGGGGUCCAGGGUCUGGUGUGAACACGUGCUGUAGCAACGACUCCCACCAACACAGCUGUACCAGGUAAAUGUCUAUUCACCCUUCCAUGUCCAAAGCACCUGCCUCCCCUUCCUUGAAGCCCUCCCCAGCCUCCCUACCCCUCCCAUCUCUCCCUCCCUUGCAUAUCCCCAACUGUCCCUCUAAUCUGGUACUUGCCGGUUUGCACAUAAGGCCCCCCACCAGCCUGGGAGCUCCCAGUGGAGUCUCAAACACCAACACAGGCCUGAAUCCUAGCCUGCUCCAGCGCUAUGGAUGUGGCAGACCUACUUUGCUGCCCCACACCAAUGCAAGGGGAGGGCCAUGAGCUACACCAGGCCAGUCGGCACCCCAGCAGCCUCUUGACCCCACUGAAUGGUCACACGACCCUAGCCCUUCCUGGACCCCUCGAGAAAGAGGCCUGCAUUUUCUCUGAGAUGGAAGCACUAAGAGCCUAAAGCUUCUGGAGCCCUCCUGGAGAGUGAAUCCAGUUCAGAGGAAAACAGACCUUAGGGCUGGAAGGAGAGAGGUCAAGUCCUGGUGACAUCUUUGAGCUCCAGUUUCCCUGUGCCUGAGGCCAAUGCAAGCCCCAGAGUUUCUAACUAAUGAGUUGGCAAAGUACCUUUUUCUUUGCUCUAGACACUUUGAGCUGGGUUUCUGUCACUUGCCCCCAAAAGGAUCCUGACUAAUAUAUACCUGCUACUUGAUUUUUCCAAAACUUAAUUCUUAUCAGUUCCCUUGCUGUGCAAACCUCCCUUGGUACCCCCUGGCUUGCCUACUGGGAAAAGGGGGUCUCCCUCCCGAGUCCUCGAAGGCCUGGUGAGACCUGGUGCCUGUGGUUUGUGCCCCAUGAGCAUCCCUUAGGAGACAGCAGUGCAGACAUUAUAAGCACAAACUCUGGUGUCAGAAGUGCAGGUUCAGGUCCUGCUUCUGAUAUUGGACAAGGUGCUUAACUGACUCUCUGAGCUGUAGUUUUCUCAUCUGUUAAGCACACAUAGUAACAAUAUCUCAGGGUAGUUAGCGAGGAUGGAUGGGCAGCACUUAGCAUGGUGCCUGACACAUCUCUAAUACAGUCAGCCCUCUGAAUCCACGGUUCCUCACUCCUCCAUAUCCGUGGAUGCGGAUCCCACAGAUACGGAGGGCUGACUCUAAGGGACUUGAGCGUCUCUGGAUUUUGGUAUCUGUGGGAGGUCCUGGAACCAAUCCCCUGUGGAUACUGAAGGACGACUGUAAUAUUACUUUAUUACUACUACUACUACUGUUAAUUUCUUUGUUGCAAGGGCCCUCAAGAUACAGCUGGAGCCUUUGAAGUUUCCUCCUCGUGUGCUUGGUUGCUUGACAAAAAGCGUGCCCUGCUAUCCCAAAUGAGGGGCGGGGAUGGUGCAGGGGAUGCCGGGCCUCCAUCUCCAGACAGGACUGUCUAUUGUGGGCUGCUUGUGCAAGCCCAAGUCACAGGCCUCUGCAGAAGCCAGAUGCAGGCAGUGGGGCCAUAAAAUUUUCAAAACGAAAUUUUCCAUGGGAGCUAUUAAUGCGUCAUGUGGUUUCUGAGAAUAGGAACAGGCUGCAAGCAGCUCUGUGGCGCUCCUUCAAUCAGUCAGCCUCGGCAUUUCCAUGUCAGAACUCAGAAAGCCCAGAUAAAGGCAAUUCCUGCGUGACCGGAAAGCAAAUCUUAAGCCAAGUUGAAGUUAUAUGUGCUGGGGUGCCCCAACCAACCUAGUGUUUAGAGUUGCAAGACCUCUGGGUUCAGGACCUUGUGUAGCAGGGAUGUGGGCCAGUUGCCUGGGAGUGUGGGCUCCAUAUGGGGUGGGGCUGAGUUCAAAGAUCUGGCCACCCUACCCUCUAUGGUCUGCCAUUCCAGAAUCAUCUGUUGGUGACUGAAAUGGGGACUGUUAAGGAGAAGGCUGGAUGGUGGCUGAUACCUAAAUCCACCCCUGCGCCAUCCUGAGCGGCAUCUUCUCUCAUUCCUAGGUACCCUUGUAUUAGGUUCAGGAACCUGCCUGCAGCCAGAUCUGUCUGCCUAGAGUCUGCUGAGGGCUGAAGCCCAUAGGGCGCCUGCCAGUCCUUUGCCCUCACGACGGCUGAACCCAGGGUGGGGAGGUGCUGGGGGGUGAGGGCUUCCUGCAUAAUGAAUAUCAGGUCUGAGAUGGCCCUGUUCACAGGGUCUGCUCCACUUGGCAUUGACAGGGCAGCUCCAGGGCAGGACUGGAGCAGGCAGUUGUUGACCACUGGAGAGGUCACGUGCCAACAGCUGAGCAUCUAGACAGGCCUGGGCCUCCUACUUCAAGAGCUCUGAGCCUGCCCAGGUGCUGAGGUUUGUGCCUGAGCCUCACCUUGCAAGUGGCCAGAAGCCGGGCAUCCUGGAACUCCCUAGCAGGUCACGUCACCUGCCUCAGGUGAGCCCUGUGUUGUCUGCUGUGUGACCAGCUGAGUGCCAGCCCCCAACAAGUUCCCUGCUGGCCAGUGCCACUCAGGAGAGUCCUUCCUCAGGGACGGACACUAGGAGGAAUCUCGCUUCUCUCAGGCUCCGCUGUUGAGGCUUUUGUCCCAGCAAAGUCCCUGCUUCACUGACAUGAGAGCUGAUGUUAAUGGUCCCUGAGCCGAACAAGGCUUGGAACAUACUUCACUUAAGAAGAAAUGACAACAUACUUUCUGUGGGAGUGGAACUUUAAAUACAAGUCCACACAAAUGGCAGGAUUUAUGCAGACUCAGUGUUCAGCUGGGUUUCAAAUACAGCCUUUCCUCCUGGAAUGGAUUGGCUGGCAGAGCAGUGUGUAGGCAUUUCAAGGCACCAGAGAACACAGAUGAAGACAACAAACCUCCCUAAAACAGAAUAGACUUGCUAAAAUUCUUCUGAAAGGAAUCAUUUCACAUUCAGCCUGAAGUUUUCUAUGCAAAGAACAUUUAACAAACUGAGUCCUAGAGGAGAAUUUAUGCAAAGAUUAAAAAGCAAAUCAGUGCGAAUGAGUAAAUAAAAUCAGGCAUCAGCAUCUCACCAACCUUCCCUGUAGCUCUGGGCAGCUGGGCCCGAGGGCUGCAUUUCUGAACCGAGACUGGAUCUCACUCCCCACUGAGGGCUGAGGUCCUUGUCCUGGGCCCUUUCAGAGGCCUUGGACACCAGGCCACUGCUAUCCUCAGGUCCUGCCUCUGCACACGGCACCACAGGAGCCCUUGGCUCUGAGAGAACCAGCCAGAAGACCUGAGAGAGGAUGGCCCAGCUCAGGCCGAACCAUGGACUGCUUGCUUGGGGAGGCCUCCGACCUGCCUGCAGGGCUGUCCUGGGCCUGCUCCAGAAGGUAUAACUGGGAGGGGAUUGGGGGCUGCUGUCUGCUACCCUGGGGAGUGGGACUUAGAGCUACAUUUGCAUAAGAAUGUGAAUUAGUCAUUUGUCCACAGCAAAGACCAGUGGGGAAGACAUCAUGGGGAUCUAUAGCCCCCCAAGUUCCCUCUAAUUGCUACCACCAAAACUGCUUCCAGGGGUCUUCUGAGGCUCUGGGUUCCAGUUAACCCCUGCCUCUCUGGUAGUGGUGCCCUGUCUAUACCUGCUCUUAGCUGUUGAAUCCUACACUUCUGAAAAGGGAGACAAGAACUCUUGAAUGGAGACCACAUGUCCCCAGAUUGCUGGUGUAGACAUUGCUAAUGUAGACAGUGACGUGUUUCCAUUCAGGAGUGACUAACUUAAAAAGAUACGCAUGCUUUGCCUUUGUGAAGAUCCGGGUUAGACUUUUCUUCCCUUUUUGCCCACAUCUGCCUGCAAGCCUAGGACAGGCCUCUUACGUCGCUUCUUCUGGCCCCUAGAGCAGUGCGGGCCUACUUUCUAGGCAUGAGGCAAGAUUGCACCUCCUGGUCCCCUUGCAGUUGGGUGUGACUAGCUCUGACCCACAAGCUGUGAGUGAAAGUGAUGUGUGUCACUGCUGGGCCAGAGUACUUCACAGCAGGUAUAUGCGGUUGGUCCUGGGGGCCAAGCAGGGCCUGCAGGGGAUGGGAGGAGGGAGCUUCGAGAUGAAGCCAACAGCCUGGGGUGUCAGAGCCCAGAGGCCAGGCGUGGUCAGACGCUGCCAGGUCGUGCUGGCUGACUGGUGCCCGCCAGGGCUGGUGAGGGGCAGAGGCAGAGGCAGAGGCAGGGGCAGGGCAGCAGCUGUCGAGCUGGGAGGCUGGAGGUGCUCGGCAUCCAUUCCCUAUGAGUCAGAUGCUGCUCGGGGUAUUUCACAGCAAGGGCCCAAGAAUUUCUGGGGGCAGAGCCUUGCUUUCUAGGGUGUGUGGGGGGUCCUCCUAGAGGGUAUGGAGACAGGAAAGUGGUGGGUGGUGGGUGAAACAAGCAGUGAGCAAGGGAGGGAGGUAAGAUGGGGUGGCAGAGAGAGCUGAGAGUAGGCGCAAGGAAGGCAGUGUCACUCAGGAGUCCUGCCUGCCAGCCUGUGCCCUCGAUGGCCACAGUGACCGCCAGAUCCCAGAUUACAGGCCGGGAGGAGACGCCGGGGGAGGAGCAGCUGUGGAAAAUGGGCUUGAGAAGAGGCUCCAAUGCAUGCACUUACAGUUUACCCCUAGGUGGUUCUGUUUAACUUAAGUGCUUAGAAUCCGGUUAGCAUCCAACCCAUACCACACAGACCUCAGAGUAGUGAGAGCCUGGUGUGUGCUGGCUGCACUCUGGAAGGACUGAGUGACCCCCUGGCUGUGACCCUCUGGCUGGCUUCGGGUCUGGGCAGCCACCCAGCUUGACGCUACCUGCACCACCCCCACUGCUAGACAGAAGGUGCACAGGGUAUCUCACCGGGCUUUCCGGUAGAGAUUUGGAAAGAACAUUUCCAGAACAGAGGUCAGCACCAAUGCGAAAACAGUCUAUGCAGUUUCAACCAGAUUUGCUUUAAGAAACAGGUCCAACAGGAGGCCUAAGCGGCUUGAUCCUCAUCUCUCCCUCAGCUCUCUUCCCCCUGGUCCUGGGCCACCAUCCUUCUUGUUCCCUUCCUGCCCUUGGGACUGCUCUUUCUCCGAGCCCUUUGUUGUCCCCUCCUCCCUGGCCCACCCCUUAGGAGCUGGACCUUCCCCUGCCUCCUCUCUCUUCUCUUGGUUGAUCUCUCAUGGGUCACCUGUUCCCAGGUGAUAGCCAGCCCAGGUGUCUCUCCUGACCUCUGACCCCAUGAAUUUAAUUGACAGCUCUCUACCUUCCCCUAAAAGUUUAUCAUUUGUCUUCCUCUACUUCCCCAACACCAGCUCUGUCUCCUGAGUGGUCCUAGGCCCCUGGACCUCCUCCAUACCCACCUCCUGUCACCCAGCCCACGGUUCUGCCUCCCUAACCCCUUGCAUCCAUUCCCAUGGCUACACCCAGUUCAGGCCUCACCCUCUCCCACCUAGAUGCUGUGACAGCCAUCACCUGGUCCCCCUGCAGCUGGCCUUCCUCCUCUGAUCCACAUGGCAGCUGGUGGCAUCUUUCUAAACUACACAUUAGGUCACAUUGCUCCCCUGCUAAACUCUUCAGUGGCCCUUGCUGACCCCAGGAAGAUGCACCUGGCAGAGAAGGACAGGAAAGGGGGGGCGAGGCCCUGCAGCCUGAUUGCUUUGCAUCCGCCUACUUCUGAAGUCCCGGGGACCCCGACCUGCGCAAUUUCCCCUGAAGCCCUUCUAGCCCUCCAUGCCUUUGCUGAGGCAGUUUCCUGCAGCCAUCAUCUGUGCGAAGGGAUGAGGCCUCAGCAGAGGCGCUCAGGGUUUGGAAGUCACAGUGAUGGUCUCUUCACCAAACCCCAGCCAGUCCCCUCCUCUGUGGCCCCAGGGAUAACUAGAGACCUUUGGCCCGGCUCAACUGAGCCAUUUCUCUCUUGACCUUGUUAGUUUCCAUGCAUUUAUUGCAUGUUUGCAGUCUGCACACCAGAAAGGUAACCAGCCUCCCAUACUUUCAGAUCUACCACACUAGACACAGAACUGAGAGAGCGAAGGCUUGAGCAAUGUUGGCAAAUUCCAUACCUCAAAACAAAGGGAGGGAGGGCCUUAUGUGUGUGGCCCUAUAGAGUGUCUGCAGGACCAGGGACCCUGCCCACAUGGUGACACCAGCAACUUUGGAGCUCAUCCACCCACUUUGACCUCCAGUCCUGGGGAACUCAACUUCUUUUUUUCCCUUGCAGACACUCAGUACUUUAUCCCAUCACCUGUAUGUUGGGCACAGAGUAGGCAGAUAAGAGGAACCCCUGAUGACUGAUUGACAAGCGACAGCCCUGCCCCCUGCAGACCUGGAGUCCAGCCAGGGUGGCUUCAGCAAUGCAGCUCAUCUGGGGCCACCUGUGGCCCGCUCAGGACCUCAAACUCAUUUCCUCCCUCCCUGCCACACUCUCUCCCUGUGAGGUGGGACUACGAGCCAGUCAUGGCAGAGACAUGAGGGAGACUAGAAAUGAGCCUCAAAAAAGCAGAACAAACAGUCCACUUCUUGGGACAUCUGAGCAGAAUGUGCUCUUGACACUGAUGGUGCAGCUACACUGUACAACCACCCCAAGCAGAUAUUGUUGGCUCCAUUUACAGAUGAGAAAACUGAGACUCAGAAAAGUAAAUGACAGUCCCCAAGAAGUGUAGCCUGGUCACCAGACCCCAAUUUCCCUUUCCUCUCUGCAUUUCUCACCAAAGUUUAAUACACAUGAUAUGCAAAAUAUGCAAAUGAGCGCUGUCCAGCACCAAGCCCCGCUACCUCCAGGACAAGUCCCCACACUAUCCCCCUAGUCUUGCUUGUUCUUCCCUCUCAGUUCCCACCAAACAAGAUCCUCACCCUGUCUUUCCAGUCUCUGAAGCUUACAUUUGUCACCCACCCCCACUGAGCCCUUAGUGAAGACCCUAAUAAAUUUCCUCCCUCCCUGUGGACUGCCGGCCUCAUCCAUCUCCUCUUUUGUUUUUCCAUCCAGUCACCAUCACCUUGGACCCCCAAAUCUCCCUACUCCCAGCUUGGUGACCUCCCCAGAAACCGUGAAAACAUCUAAUUUACCAAUAUUUGGGAGGAAGCAGGUUCUUAUAAUGGUCUUGCUGUGCUGGCUCCUGGACUGAAGUUCCCAACUGUCAGGGGGUCAGAAAAUGUGUUUCUGGUUUCCACUUUUAUUGUAGUGGUUUGAGUUAUUUCUCUGGGAUGGAUUCGAGACUAGAAUUACGAGGUAAACUUUAAAGCUUCUGAUACAUAUUGCCAAACUGCUUUUCUCCAAGGUUGUUUGAGAGUGCCUGUUUCACAGCAUCCUUUCCGUGAAAUGCACUGGGUUUUAGCAUUAAAAAAAAUUUUUUUUAAAUAGUUUAAUGGGUAAUGAUAUCUGAUUACAAUUUCCAGGAUAUUUAAAUUGUAUUCCUUCAUUAUUGUGAAGUGCUGCCUCAAUCCUUUUCCUACUUAUUGAAGGAGUUAGAAUUUCCUCCAUAGAUUUGGGUGUGUCAGACAUACCCCCUCUGCAGGCAUUGAACCACAUGAGGGUCGGUUCAGAAUGGGACCAAACUGCUUGCCCCAGAUUGCUUACCCCAGAGCUGUGUUUUCAAACUUUUUAUCCAAGCAGCAGAACCUUUUCUCAAACAAUCUCGCACAGCACCUCUUUAUAUAAAACAUUAAUAAGUAGCCUAUGAGGGGAGGCCUGGAGCGCCCCCUCCCGUCCCCCUCCCCCUUCCAGAAGCUCUUCUCACCUGAGGAGGGGCCGCGGGGACCUUCUUGUCCUUCUGGCUGAAGAGGGAGCACUCCCUGCGUGAACUCAAGGACCUGAAAGUAGAUGAGUGGUUCACAGAGGUGUCCGGACCUCCACAGUCACCGAGCAGCGCAGUACAAGUGACCCAGGUACAGAGACCGAGGGGCCGCACCUGCGCCGGAGGCACCGCCACACCCUCCACGUCGCCAAGGAGAGGGUGUGGGCCCCGCUGUCCCCACGAAGUUCAGCCAGAGGGGGUGGGAGCUGAGGUUUGUGGGACGGACCUAGACAGGCCCGGGGGAUAGGAGGGUUGACAGGUGCGGAGGACUCCGUGGGUGGGGGGCACAAGGCUUCCACGUGGACGGCUGGACCCUGGCCAGGCCGGCGAUGUGCAGGUGAGUGGCAGGGGAGAGGCGAAUUAGGAGCCCCGGCUGGGGGGGUGGGGGGUAGGGGUUUGAUCUGAUAGGCGAAGCUAGAACAAUCAGAGUUCUCCCCAGGAGCUUUGUGUAAUCUCAGCCUCACAAAGACACCUGAGGGUGGGGGAGAACUGAACCCAGACCCGGAAAGAGGGACAGUGGCUACUGGGACGAGGGUGGGGCACAGGGAGGAAGCCGCUUGGCCGCAGAUAAGGAGUAGACUGGCAGAGGAAAGGCUCAGCGGGGACGCUUCGUGAACCCAAUGGGGUCUUCGGAGGGGGGCGUUUGGGAGGGCGCUCGUGUGAGCGGAGACCUUUGGACACGAAGCCACCCGCUCCUGGCAUUCCUUGUUGACCCAGUCGGAGGAUCAGCGGGCCCGGACACUCACUCUCUAGUAGGGGUUCUUAGGCCCGGCUGACUCUCUGGCCCCGCCCCACUCUUGUAGCCCCGCCCCUGCCUCAGGUGUUGGAUCCACCCCGAUUUUCUGGUCGCGCGGCCCCUGGGCCCUGGGCCUCAGGCACUACCUGGCCUCGACUCUCUCGGCCCCGCCUCCUGAAACCUGGCCCCGGGCAGCUCUCUGGCCACGCCCCCUGGCCUCGGGCAAAGUCCUGGCUCUUUAGUCCCUCCUUCCAGUCCCAAGUCACGCCCCCGAAUUUGCAGCCGAAUCCCUGGCUUUUGGCUCGGCCUCUUGGAUUUCGGCCCAGGAAGUUCAGCCCGCACCUCGCGCAACCCUGCGCGGAGCUCGUUGGUUUUACACCUUUUCAAGCCAGUUCUGCUGCCCGGCCCAGAGCCCUCUUACCACCCUCACAUCGCAGGCAAGGCAACCGUUACUCCCCAGGGCCCCUCUGGACCAGACCCUGUCCUGUAUAUACACUUAUUUUGCAAAUCACCCAAACUGUUUCAGAAAAAUCUGAAAUUGAGUCCCAAGCCCUCUGCCCUCAAGCCAAAGAUGUUGCAGAGGAGCUGGAAGGAGUGUCUUCUCACUUGGGAAACAGUUGGCGCCCUCCUGAUUAGAAAUCCAUUAGAAAAGCUCCAGUGAGACAAGGGUUCUAGUCAGCUGAAAGGUCUUGGGCAAGUCAUUUAACUUCUGAGCCUCAGAUGCCCCCUCCCCCAUAACACUGGGGUUCCCUACAGGAUCUUGGAUGGCUGUGGCCAGGACCAAGUGAGCACAGGUACUGGAUGUUACCAGCGGGAAGAAGGAAGCCUGAGCCCCUAGGUCCUCGCUCUACAUGCUCUACACGAGGGGGCCCUUGUUUUUAUGGGGACACCCUGGCUUAUUUCCUCUGAGUUAAGCACUUGGCAGGCAUUCCUCCCCACCCAUGGCCUGGGGAGUCCAACCUGCCAAGACGUUAGAGGGUGUCCUGUCCCCUGUGCCUGGGACGCCUGCCUCCUCACCCUCAGUAAGCCGCCUUCACCCUGCCCCUAGACCACAGGCUGACAGACAUCUGAAAGUGGACACAAAGGAGCCAUCCCAACCUUUGCGGCUCUCAGCUCCCACCGCGCUCUCCCAGAGCAGUGAGGAGCUCACACCUCAUCUCUCGAUGAGAGAUUUGCCAAGGAGGGUGUCUUUGUCCUCAGAUAUUUCCCUAUCGUCCGUAAGCUGCAUAGCCUCUCUCCCCUCCCAAACUCUUCUGAAAAAUCCCCUGUGUGUUUUUUCAAAAUAAAAUUAAAUGACAGGAACUAACUAUUUAGGGAGGGGUUCCUGAGGGGAAAUGGAAUCUCUGCAACCUUGAGAUUACAGGACUUUUCCUCUUCUCAAAAGACAAGAAAAACAUGUCAGAUCAUUGAUAUUCUGAGCCAGACCUUGUUUUGAAAAUACGCUGUCCUCUGUCCUUCAACAAACUACAGCCUCUCUCCCUCUUUGAAAAUAAGACCACAUCAAGUCAGGGAUUAGAAAUGGGAAAAAUUCAAUCAGAGCCUCCCUCUGCCAGUUAUAUAUCUCAGUACACUCCCAGGCGAGCAGAAUCAGCUCCCACUAUAACCCAGCUCAGCAUCAUCAUUCAAAACGCACCAGUAGGAAAUGGUGAAACAGAAGGACCUUUCAUCCCGAGUGAGCGAGGCCUGCAGCACUGCUCUCCUAGCUCUGGAAGCUGGCGGUGUCUGGGGCCAGUGGAGCUGGGGCCUGUUGCUUAAAUAGGCAGUGGGAGGGGGUUAGGGCGGGCCUGGGGGGGUGGGCAUGGAAAGUGGGCCAUUUACCCAGCACAGAAAGGCAGUGUCCGCCGAGCCAGCAGUGGUCCUAAACACGCGCCUGCCUGCUUAUCCACCAUGAGCCUCAAGCCCACAGGCCCACAGACCACAGACCAUCACCUGGGAUGACCCCUGAUGGACGUGCAGCUCCAAGUGAGACCACAUGCCCAGACGCACAGAGCUUGGUCUGGGUUCCUGGAUGCCUCUACCUGUCCUGAGACACAGCCUGGAGAGCAGAACCAGCUGUGGAGUUGGAUGGACCUGCUCCCUAGACCAGUAAGUAGUUGCCCCAAGCAGGGCAUCUCACCAAGCCUCAGUUUCUACUUUCUUGUAAUGAGGAUAAUAACACUGACUUUAUAGGUCCAUAAAUAACGUUUGCAAAGGGCCUAGCGCCUAGAAGGUUGGUUUGUUUAACCACAUGAUGAUGCUGGAGUCAGGUUACCUUCAACAAAGUUCAAGCCCAGAGAGGUUUGGUAACAUAAAGUCACACAGCCCUUCAGCUGAGUGUGAGGGUCAGACUUCAUGCAGACCUGAGACUAAGUUGGGUUGGUAGAAGCCCCUUGAGGUGAGUGUGGGGAGCAACUGCUGGCCUUGGGGAAAGGUCUUGACUGAACUCUGGUGAAGCAGUUAUCCCUAGAACCCCAGCACCAAGGUAAGGGAAGAGGCAUGGCUGGACAGACAAGCUGAGCUGGCUAGUCUGUGCAUUUGGUUGGGACCUUAGUGUGGGUUGCAGAAGUAUCCUAGAAUAACUACUAGGAAUGGCUGGUGAGAGGAGUUUGUUUCUUUCUACUUGUACAGAGCAGGUCUUGUUUAGGAGCAUAACUGGUGUGUGGUUAGAAUACACAUGUGUGGUUAGAAUUGCACGUUUUUUCCUGAGGUUUAUCUUUACUCUCAUGAUGUCAGCUCUCUUGUCAUUCUAAUUUCAAAAGAACCUAUCUCCCUUCAUUUUGGCUUGCCAGAUAAUUUAUCAUUCAAAAAUUGAACUAGCAAAUGUUUCUUUCUUUCCCUGAGAGUCAAACUUGAAAGGCACAGUGUGUAUACUUUAGUUCUAGGCUGAGCUGUUUUUUCAUCUCUGGAAACUUUUCUUGUAUUAUUUCUUUCCAGAUGUUUUCCUCAUCGUAUGCCUCAUCCCAUCCAUCUCUCUCUCUCCUAUUUUUGGGCUGCAACCCCAUUUCCCAUUUUCCAGAUCAGUUAUUUGCACCUUUGUUUGUUUUCUGUGUCUCCAUUUCUGGUUGGAUGUUUUAUUUUAUCCUCAACAUCACUGAUUCCUUUGUUCUGUUGUUUCAGUUAGGCAAACUACUACAUCCAGAUGUUUUUCCAUUCUUUUAUAGUCAUGGAAUUACAGCCAUUUUUUGUUGUUGUUGUUCUGUUCUGUUCCUGUUAGUAGUAUUUUGGUCAUUUAUUUCUUUCAGCGUAGUUACUACUCAGUUCACCUUACUUUCUCCUGAGGCUUUGCAGAUUCCAUCAUCUAAAAACAAAUUAAUUGACGUUCCUUGAGGGCCUACUGUGUUCAGACACUGCUGCUUAGUAUCUAACACUGUGGCGCCUGCUUCCCUUCCAAGGUUAACUCAGGAGAAUUCUGCAGUUAGAGCUGCUUUGAGGGAGAUUCUGAUUAACUGAGAUUUAUUCCAUCUUGUUCUAAAAACAAUUCAAGAUGACUUAAACUGUGUUCUAUGUACAAUAUAAUAUGACUUUUUUUUUUAAGCAGUGAGAGAAUUAGGGCUAAGGGAAAAUAAAGGUGGAAAAAACACGAAGCAGCCAAGCAGAGAUGGGAAGAUGGAGUGAGUGAAGGGAGGGUCUUGAUUCUGACGGUAGCCUCAAAUGGGCACAGAGGGGAUGUGCUUUAUGACUGAAACCUGUCCGUUUGAUUUUUGUUGGUGUUGACCCUUUGAGUUCUUAUUUGAAUGGCUGCAGCACAGAACGGGCCACAUGGUACGGCUCACUCUGCAGGCCCCCAGGGUGGGAACCACUUUUGUGUUUUGUUCCCAAUAGGGAUGGAAUUGAAAGGAAACAAGAGGUGAGAUACACUCAUGAUGUGGAUGUGUGGGUGGCUGCCUCUAAACACUGGAACAGUUGCCUCAUGCUCAUCUUCCAAAAGUCAGUAUUGAUUGAGCAACUAAUUAGCCGUGUAUUUCCUGUGCUCUCAAUCAGAUUGUUUCCCUGUUUUGGGGUGGCAGGUGUCAUCUGGGUGAGAAGAAGGCUUCCUGGGGGGCUCUCUCUUCCCAUAGAACACCAGAGUGGCCUCAUUUCACACGUCUCAGGAAAGUUUUCCGAGUGACAGAUUGAUUGGUGUAUGGGUGGUUACCAAAAAAGAUUCUAUUUUAUUAAGCUGUUUGUCUUGCAAAGUGAAAUCGUUUUUUUUAAAAAAAAAAACUUUAUCAAAAUGUCAUCGUCCCGGGGUUUAAGAACGUGCCCUCUGGCUCUGAGGGAAGAUUUGCAGAUCCUACGGGUAAAGAGCUGUCAUGUCAGGGUCUCACUCAAGCCCUUGAGUGAUGAGCUCAGUCGUGGCCGCCAGCCUGAGUCUCUCUUGCGGUGGGGUGGAGGGCACCCAGGGCCAGCUGGGCACCAAAUGAUGUUGCCAAAUCUCACCCUGGUGCCUGAAAUGCCUUUUUUUUUUUUAAUACAUCCAGGGAAAAUAAAAAUUGAGAGAUUCAUGCACAUGAAUGCUCAUGUGUAGGUAAUUUUGCUUUUCUGUUUGAGGAGGAAAUAGAAAACAUUCCACUUGCUCAUUUUUUUUAGAGUAAAAACAAGGAAAUAUAUUAAACAAUUAAAAAGUAUUUGGUUUCCUGGUGGGAUGAAUUGGGAGGUUGGGAUUGACGUAUAUACACUAAUACAUAUAAAAUAGGUAACUAAUAAGAAGCUGCUGUAUAAAAAAAUAAACAAAAUUCAAAACAAAAAAGUAUUUGGUUUCCUGUUGGUGGCACUUAAAGAAGAGAGAAAGACAGAGAGGAGAUUGAAAGCAGUGGAGGGAAGGCAGGAGUCAGAGUCCUGUCCCCAGGGCCCACCCUGCCCUCUCUGCUCCAGCUCCCAGCCCCGGCAGCCCCGGCCCCUUCAGUCGGGUGGGCAGGCUUUGUCCUUGGCUUCUUCCUCACCCUCGACGUGUCCUGUCCAGAGCCAGUUCCUCCCAGCUCUGUGGUCCAUUUCCAGUCCCUGCUGCCCCCCUUCUCUGGCUGUCAUUUCCCCUCAGGCCUCCUCAUUUCUUGCCCGCAUGGUGGCACAGCCAGUAAGCCUGGGUGUGGCCCCUUCCAUCAUGCUCCGUGUCCAAGCCCGUGAUCCCCGCCACGAGCAGUCUGAGUUCAUCCUGCCCUUGCCCAGCAUCUCAGAUCUCUCUCUGUGCACAGAACAAAUCCCCCUACCUUGCCUGGCUUGGGGGCCCUUGGUGAUGGGGCCCCCCCUCCUCAGCCUCACGUCUGCCUUUUUCUUCCUCCCAGUGAUUCAUUGUGAUGGCCUCAACCUCUAGCUUUCCUCUUUCCUGGAACAUGCCAUGCUCUUUCACGCCUCCGUGCCUUUGCACAUGCUGUCCCCUGUGUCUGGAACACCCUCCCCAGUCCAUCUACAUGGCACCCAGCCUCUAAGGCUCAGCUCUGCAGCUGUCAAGCCCCUUCCUUCAACUGCCCACCCACCGGGCUUUGUGCUAGCAGCCCAGAGCCCCCCGAGUGCAGAGCAUGGAGCCCAGUCCCUGAGAGGCACUCAAGGAACCUUGGCUGAAUUAAUAAAAUGGUUUCUAGCCAGACCAGAAAGUCAGUCACCAAAAGGUUCAGUUCCCUCUGUACAAACCAGUUGGCACAGCAGGAGCUGUGAGAAGACUGCUCCUAAUUGUUUGAACUAGUGCAUCCAUUAGGCUGCCUUAUAUAAAGGGAGAUAGGCAAACAUUUAGCCUUAAAUGUUAAAAGACCUCUGUGAACUCAUGUGUGUUGGUGGUAGCGCUUGCAGCUGGCUGAGAUCACUACCAUCAUCAUCAUCAUCAUCAUCAACCUUUUUGGGGGCACCCGCUGCGUGCCAGAAACUGCGCUAAGGAUGUUGCAUGCAGAACCUCUUGUUUAAUUCUCUGAACAGCCUGGGAAGGUUGGGGUGUUAUUGUUCCCAUACUCAGAGAGGGAAACUGAGGCUCGGGGAGGGUAAGUGACUUGUCUGAGUCACACGGCUAGAGAGUGGCAGAGCCCAGACUCUGGGGAAGGCUUAUCGAUGGCCCCCUCCUGGCUAGCGUUUUGACCCUCCAGGGCUGCCUAAUGCUCAGGAGGCACCCACAGACCAGGGAGGAACACCCCAGGGGUCUGGGAAGGCUUGUAGCCACCACCCUCCCCCCUCUCUGCUGCCACCCUCCUGUCCCAGAGGGACUUGAGGUGGAUGCUGCCACUAUUUGUCCUUAGCACCAGAGUGUGGAUUGGUCCAAGGGCUGUUGCUCAGGACAGAAUGCUGGUGAGGCUUGGAAGGUAUGAACCCUCAGGAACUGGGCAGAGCUAUCGCUGUGGGGCUGGGCAGGUGCUGUGAGGACACGCUGGCCAAGCUCAUUGUCUCUCACCUGGUCCUUCAGCCUGGCCCCCACCAUCUGUUCUCACACAGAAGCCAAAGUGAUCUUUCUGCGUGCAAACCUGAGUGCCUUCCAAGCUUAAAACUCUUUCAUUGCCCCCAGAAUAAAAUCCAUGCCCUGAGCCCACCACCGUGUCACGUCUCACUCUUUGCCAGUCUUCUCCUCCUCUGCUUGUACCGCCAGAGCCCUUCUGUUUCCUCCAUGGUCCUGGUCCCUCUCAGGCAGGGUCUUUCCUCACUCUGUCCCCUCAUGCUGGAACCCCCCUGCCUUGGCUGGCUGGCUGCUCCUCAGCUUCAGGCCUCAGCGGAAAAGUCUUCCUCAGGGAAGCCUUCCCGAUCUCCCCGGCAGUCAGUAUGACCUCCUGCAGGCCUCCUGCAGGCAGCACCUGGUGCUCCCAGCCCUGCCUCAGGUGAGCUCUAGAGGGGCUAGGGGCUGGGACCUGGCCACCUGCAUACAGACAGAGCCAUGGGGACUGACGACCAGGAGGGACAACAUACCCCAAAUGUGACCCUCCAGAGGGAGAUGCCAAAUCUGGUUCCAGGAUGUUGGGGCUUCAUACUGGGAGAGGGGCGGUCCAAGAGGCGGGCAGUGCCUGGAACGUGCGGGGCUGUGGCCACGUGGACCCCAAGCUGAAGCCACAGCUGUGGACGUCCAUUUUCAAGGAAGGCAGGCGGAGGGAAAAAAGGGGUCAAGGACAGAAACUUGAGACGUAUCCCAUUUUUGGCUUGGUGAGGACGGAGCCAGAAAGAGCACUUGGGAGAAGGCGGAAGAAAGCAGAAAAAAAAAAGUAGCUAAGAUAUAGCACUGUUUUUAUUUAGGUCUCAGAUAGUCUUACUUUUUUUCUGUUUCACUUAGAAUAGCUGGAACAGGAGGGCCCUACGUGGCAGUCCCUGGGAUGAGAAAACCGUGUGUCAAGGCGGCUGCCGAAUCCCUCUCUAUUUUUAGGUUCCUGACACUACCUCUUUGAGCCCCGAGGAGGCAUCCUGGCCUGAGGUGGACUGAGCUGGCAUCUCUGAGGCAGAUGUGGCCAGCCCUCACCUUGUUCUCCAGAAACCACCAAAAAGUCAGCCCAGCUGACCAACAGAGAUCCCAGACCCUUCUCUGCAAAUUCAUGGAGGUGGUGGUCACUAAGAGCCAACAACGUUCCGCAGACUCCUACCCCAGCCUCCCUUCACUGCACGGGCCUGCCUUCCAGACCUCUCUGCAAAGCUCCAACACGCCCUCACCCACACCAGGGCCAGCUAAUGACCUACCUCUGGUCCAUCAAGUCCCUCUUUUGGACUGUUGCUUCUCCAGCUCCUCUCACAAUUGAUAGAGGGUCAGAGACGACCAGGGACCCUUCCCUCAUGCUCCACAUAGCGGAUGCCUCAGGGUCCGGUUUCCAAGCACUGGCUCGUGCAUUUACCCCAUGGGAUGAUGAUGAUGAAGUACUCAGCCUUAUUCCUAACGGAGAAGAUAUUAUUAUUAUCACUCUUUACGGAUGAGGAAACUGAGGCUCAGAGAGGUUGACGGACUUGCCCAAAGAUACCCAGCCUGAUAUGGAGCCUGUCUAGCCCUUGCAAAGCUGUACAGCCUGCUUACCUGGGAUGAUAAGCGGCACUUCACCCUUAUCCCUUUUAUCCCUGCCCAGCCAGGUGGAAGGUUCUACCACCUCUACUUAAUGCACGGAGAUAACGGCUAGGCUUGGCUUCCUGUGAAACUGUUCCACUCUGGAAAAACCCUGGACCACUGGCCAUGAGGGUCAUACACUCACCUUUCCCCUUCUUUAAUAAUCAAGUUCAGGUAACAAGCCCUUUGUCAGGAUAAGAUGUAAAGUAUGUGGCAAUACCCUUGCUCAAUUUGAAAGGACUCCUUGUGAUUUAUGUCUGAAUCUUAGUUGGUCCCCAAUCCCAUUACUCUAAAAUUUGGUUAGAAUCUCACAGAAGACAGUACAAUACUUCAAUUUUUCUUCUACAAUAGCAGUAGGAAAAAAAAAUAGUGGUCAGGAGGAGUCUCUGGAGUCUAAGAUAUCCAGGCUGGAGCAUAAACGCUGCUCCUUCUGACCUGUAUAACCAUGGACAAACCCCUUUCCUCUCAAAGUUUCAUUUCCUCAUCUUGAAAGUGGAAGUAACACCACCACCCACAUCAUAGGACUGUGAGGAUUAAAUACAUCCUUACAUGUCAAGAGCCUGACCCAGAAAUGUUUCCUCUUAUUAUUAGCUUGUAAUUCUUUAAAUAGGGAUCGCUGAUGGGUUCAUUCGAAGUGAUGCAGUAGAUCGUCUACAGCUAUGUUUUCUCCUGUUCCAUUCUGUGAUGAGCUUUGGGGAAAUCCUCACAGAGGCCGUGGUCCUCAGAGCUUGCUUCUACUCCAUGCCCUAAAAUUCUCCCUUUCCACUAGGCGGGGCUGGGGCCAGUGCUCCAGAACCUUGGACAGCUCCACACCCUAGGGACUGCUGGGCGGCCUGAGGGAGCAGGAAGCACUUAGGGGAUUUUCCCAGAAGGGCUGCAUUAGUGUGGGGAUUUAGGAAUCCCAAAAGCCGCAGUCUCAUUCCCAGCCUGUGUACCACUUGAAUGCAUACGGAGAUUCUUCAACACAACCAGCCCUCCUGGAAAAUUCUGAGGAGCCUCUCCUCAGAAACUCCAUCCAUAGGAGUUACCGAAUCUUCAGGGCCUUUCCUUCUCUCCUAUGAAUUCCAAGGAUUUUUUCUUUUUUGAGCCCAAGAAGAACAGAAAUACUACCCACAACUUCCUGUAUCUGCUGAUUUUUAAUUUGUUUGGCUUCAGUACAAGGAUUAAACAUUCUUGAUUAACCUCAAGUGAAAGUAAUAAUGUAUGAGUAUGAAGAAAGGCUUUAGAAGACAGAGAUUCACGUAUGAAUUUUAAAAAACAAUGUUAUUGCCUGUAUCUGAUGUUAAGCAACAUUCUCUAAUUAGGAUAAGCAGGUAGUUCAAUUUAUGAGAUAAUUUAGCUUUUCGCUCUCCAGUGCAGAACACAACAUGCAUAUGCAGUCACCUUUCAAACAGGCAAGGAGGAGAUUAAGUCCUAUUUUUACUUUAUGAUACUGAGUCAUGUAGUUCAAUGAAAAUCACAUGGAUGCCAAAGUAAGAACAAUACCAGGUAUUUAAAUAUCUCUUUUCCUUUAAGGAGCUCUAAAGAGUUUGUGGCUGCAUGAAAUCACUUCAGAGCAACACCAGGAGAGGAGACACAUGUCAUCAGGUGGGCAUUUAAGACUGAGCACAUCUCAUCCAUCUCCCCUGCUCCCAUCAUUAGGCCUGGAGGAGCCAAUGUUUCCCAGUUCUUUGCAUUUAGAAAUAGACUCCUGAUAUCUGCAUUUUCAGGGCCGUAUUGUUGAUGAGAAAAAGAAAGCAUAUGUUUGAAAAAUAUGUUUUUGACUAAUAAUGAGGAAGAGGGGAGGAUAAAAGUAGAAUAGGAAGAAAAAGGAGAAAGGAAUUGAAGAAGGAGAGGAAAAGAGAGGAAAUAUACUUAAAUCUCCCUGAGCUUGAUGAAUGUUUUUCAUGCUUUUUUCUCUUAAACAAAUUUGAUGCCCACCCCCAACUGCAUGAAAACUUGAACAAACGUC